UGCAGGUAUUCCGUCUUGGAUUCGACGGCAGUUCGGCUUCGGCGACAGAAGAGGCGACAUCGGGAGCGACAUCAGUAGCAAAGCAGGUCCCUCAGAGCGACGAUGGACAGAUAGAACGAUGACCAUUGCGUGACGGAACCGAAUCAGGACAUCAACGAGUCUCUCCAAAGAUCGACGCCUCUCCAUCCUGAUGAUGAUCAGAUGAUGGAUCUGUAACACAUGAGACGUACAACACCUUCCUUUUGCGAAGUUCGCAUAUCCUCCAACGUUAUGACCCCCUGGACUUCCCCUGUUCAUCAGGGGGAGUCCAGGGACCCGUCCCCUGG
rnacentral:lncRNA from 1 species